CGUAAACUUUUUCCAUUUACAAACCAACGCUAUCGAUUUUAAAGAAAGUCCCAGCGUUCGUUAAUAACAAUCAACGCGUCAGCAUUGUGACUUUGAUGAGAAAUUGUAAGGAAGACUCGCGGUACGAUCGGAUCGCACUCAGUGCGCAGUCUCUUCGAAACGGGCUGAAGAAAAAGAUGAAUUUUUCCACGCGCAGAAUCGUAAAAAUCCACAGCCGGGUGAAGGUGGGGUGGUCGAAGGGCAGGAAAGGCGGUGGGAAAGGAGAGAACGGGGCUGAAAAAUAAGGGCGAGGUCAGUCGGACGCGAACCGCGGAAAAAUUCGCGUUAAAUCCAAAGCCCCAUUGCGCUUUCAUGCCGCUAGAGUCCGCAAGUUGAAAUUCCGGUGCACUUUGGAUUUUCUGUAUCCAGUUAGUUCGACAACAAAUCGAAUCGGGAGAUUACUUCUUAAUGAAAACAGCAUCAAAUCAUAGCCAGAGAUAUCCGACAUGUUGGAGGACAUUAAGAUUCUUCGGUAAGGGCAGUGAGACCGCCCCUUUCUUUCGUCUCCGUUGAAAAUAUUCCCGGCCAUUUUUCGCUCCCACCAACGCAGUCCACCCUCCGAAAGAAACGCACCGAAGAUAGGGUAGCUAUAAGGGAUUAAAACAAUGGAAAAAGUACCGCCAUCUUUAAUUCUGUCCCUAUUCGUCUCAGUAAAAGACAAAUGUUCACCUGAUUGAGAAGAAAAGAAUAAAGCAAGAUCGAUAGAUUUUAGUUUUGUAAAUCUUUCUGAAAUUUUUGCGCCUAAAAUAUUAUUGCCCGAUUAUUCCUAUAAGAUGUAUUAAAAAAUCAUCAUCUUUAUUACUGCGUAGUCAUAAAUAUUUACAUCAUUAUUAUCGUAAAUUAUUUUAAUGAAGGAAAAAGUAUAGAUAGCACAUUAUAAAUAAUGCAUGUUGAGGUAAAUUAAUUUAUUAAUUAUUAAAAAUUAAACAUUCUGAAGUAUUAUCUUAUUAUAUUUCAAUUUACUAUUUUUUUUACUCAAAUUUAUAAAAACAGUUUUAAUGAAAAACUGUAAUUAAAUUGUGUUUAAUGUAGAUUAUCCAAAUAAGUUAUAACCUAAAAAAAAUUAUAGAUAAAUAAUUUCGUGUUAAUGUUAAACGUUAUAACCGACGGUUAAUUACAUUGCAGAAUAUCUAACUGAUAUAGCCAGUGUAUCUUGGGACACCAUAGAAAUUAACAGGUUCAAGUCGUAGAUGCUAGAUGGAGAUGCAUUAUCGCAAGAGAUCAAUUUGUAUGCCAAUUUGUUUAUUGAAUUAUUGUGUAUAAAUUAGGCCACCAAAUAAAGUGAAUAAACGUUGCUACAUGUGUAACAUUCGUUAAUACGAAAAUAAUCUUAAUGAAGCAUAAUAUUUCAACGUCAACAUCCUUAUCGUUCGCUGACAUAGUUGCGAGAAAUUGAUAAGAUAAAAAGGUAAAAACACUUCGUGGCUAAAUUGCACUUUUCGCAAUUCAGUUUUAAAUACUUUCGUAUCUGAUAAUUAAUAUAAUUAAACUUAAAAUGAAUUUUUUGUGAAACUAAAUACAGAACACUUUCAUUACUUAUUUCUACCGUAGAAACUUUAAAGAAUAAAGGCGUUAUUCAAUUGUUACAACACUUCAGAAUAUCUCAUUCUACCGAGAACUCAUUUGCGCAAAGAAAACACUAAUUGCGGCCUUGCUUUUCUUUAAUAUUAAAAUGAUGAUACUAUCUGUUUUACCGA